GACGAACGCUGGCGGCGUGCUUAACACGUGCAAGUCGAACGGAAAGGCCCUGCUUUUGUGGGGUGCUCGAGUGGCGAACGGGUGAGUAACACGUGAGUAACCUGCCCUUGACUUUGGGAUAACUUCAGGAAACUGGGGCUAAUACCGGAUAGGAGCUCCUGCUGCAUGGUGGGGGUUGGAAAGUUUCGGCGGUUGGGGAUGGACUCGCGGCUUAUCAGCUUGUUGGUGGGGUAGUGGCUUACCAAGGCUUUGACGGGUAGCCGGCCUGAGAGGGUGACCGGCCACAUUGGGACUGAGAUACGGCCCAGACUCCUACGGGAGGGAGCAGUGGGGAAUAUUGCACAAUGGGCGGAAGCCUGAUGCAGCAACGCCGCGUGCGGGAUGACGGCCUUCGGGUUGUAAACCGCUUUCGCCUGUGACGAAGCGUGAGUGACGGUAAUGGGUAAAGAAGCACCGGCUAACUACGUG
rnacentral:rRNA from 1 species